UCGGGCCGCGCGGCAGGUGUGGGCGCGCGGAGGUGGCACAGCCCGCGGCGCUUUCUUUCGACCUGCGCACAACGCGGGACGCAGAGGCGCGCGCGGGGUGCGUGGAGGCCGCAGGUUGGAUUCCCUACCAGUAAAAUGAGGUAAUGAUGUGAAAUUGGUCACGUUGUUGAAGAGUUGAAAUGAGAGAUUGGGCAUCAGUAUCCAGCUUAGGUUCCGGCCUGGUGGAAGGAGAGAUUGUGGAAAAGCAUAACAACGAAGAGGGAUGGUAUUGCUCCUGUAACUCGGAACUGGAGAGGAGGCAAGAUGCUGGCAUAGCUGUUGAACUGAGAACCUGCUAUGCCAACAUAUUGCCAUCUUUCCUGUCUGACAGCAGCUUGGCUACCUCCGUCCUGUUCCUCCUUGUCUUGCUACAAGCCAUCCAUGAUAUGUAGGGCCCUGUGACUUGGUCUGUCUCGCCCUGACUUCUCUCCAGUCCUAUACCGAAUCACUCGCUCUGUUCUAGCCACACUGGCCUUUUGGGGAUGUUCUUGGCUGCACCAGGAAUAUUCCCGCCUCUACUGCCCUGUCUUAUCUUUUGGGCAUCAGUGGAGAACUCUUUCACCAUGGCACUGUCUAUAAAACCUUACAUGUGCCCAGCCACCGUUCACCUCAUGACCCUGCUCUGACUUGUCAGAAUCAUUGGGCACUACCUGUCCAUGUUCAUUUGCUUAGUUGCUGCUUGAUUUACUGUACCAGGUUGUAAGUCCUUUAAGGGACACCCGUCUUCAUUUCUGUUCACCAUACCCCUAAACCCUGACGUUUGCAAGUCCUCAAGUCAUGUCUUUGCGACUCUACCCUGGACUUAUUGUGCAACAGAAGUGUCAAAUAAUGAGAUUUUAAUCAUGCCAUGAAUGGCUGUGAUGAAACACUGGUUUAUAAGUAACAAAGAAUAAACAAAUGCUACUGAUUUCUAAGCCUGCAAACCCAACAUCUUAAAGGAGCCACA
rnacentral:lncRNA from 1 species